rnacentral:rRNA from 1 species
CCUACGGGAGGCAGCAGUGAGGAAUAUUGGUCAAUGGACGAGAGUCUGAACCAGCGAAGUAGCGUGAAUGAUGACUGCCCUCUGGGUUGUAAACUUCUUUUAUAAAGGAAUAAAACGAGGCACGUGUGCCUUUUUGCAUGUACUUUAUGAAUAAGGAUCGGCUAACUCCGUGCCAGCAGCCGCGGUAAUACGGAGGAUCCGAGCGUUAUCCGGAUUUAUUGGGUUUAAAGGGAGCGUAGAUGGGUUGUUAAGUCAGUUGUGAAAGUUUGCGGCUCAACCGUAAAAUUGCAAUUGAUACUGGCAGUCUAGAGUACAGUUGAGGUAGGCGGAAUUCGUGGUGUAGCGGUGAAAUGCUUAGAUAUCACGAAGAACCCAGAUUGCGAAGGCAGCUUACUAAACUGUGACUGACAUUGAUGCUCGAAAGUGUGGGUAUCAAACAGGAUUAGAUACCCGAGUAGUC